UUUGCUGUGGACAUGACCAUAAA
rnacentral:piRNA from 1 species